rnacentral:lncRNA from 10 species
AAGAGCUAAGAAGAGGAGGCCAGGAAACAGCUCCUACCUUAAGUGCAUCUGAUGACAAAUGACUCAAACACCACUUUGCAGAAGUAAAGAGGGAGUCCCAGCUAAAAACUCACGUAGAAUGGAGGAGAACGUUGUUUUUCCUUCCCACACAUGUCUCACACUCACGGCAGAAAGCAAGGAAGAAGGGAAGGGAAAAAUAACACUGGAGUAAGUGCUGUUGGAGAACCUUGUUCACAAGUUUCAAGAAGCCUGUCAGGCCCUGGAAUUAACCUGCUCCCAAAAGAGAUCGGUUGAACUAUGUCCCCAGAUAAACCCUCAGAUUCCCGAAUCUCCAUAUAUCACAUCCUCAACCGGUAGUGGUGUUUGAUCAUCUUCUCCAGAUAUACAGAAGAAUCACAGGAGAUCUGGCAAGAAGCUGCAACAUUUCCUACUAUGUCUGGUUUUCUUCUUGGUGUUGAUGAUGAGGCUUAAGAGAUGAUAUAAGGAGAAGGAGAAUUUCUUUUUGGAGAUUAAUAAAAAUAAUAUUGAACCAUUGCUGCAU